rnacentral:misc_RNA from 1 species
UGCUGCUACAGGUACCCUG